UUAUGCUUAAAAGCAGUUUAAAAGUAUAUAGAUUUAAAUUAAACAUUCAAUUAUUUAACGAAAUUUUUAAUAUCUAAAUACAUUAAAAAUGAUAAAAGUUGUAAAUUAAUUUUAUUAGCUAAAUAUAGUGCCAGCAGCUGCGGUUAAACUAUAAAUAAACUUAUACAAAAAUAAUCUUAAAAAAAAUAUUUUAACAAAAAUAAAUAUUAAGUAAAAUUUUAUUUAAAAUUUAAAAAAAUAUCUUUAUAGAAAAAAUUAAAAACGUAAAACAGGAUUAGAUACCCUUUUAUAUUUUAACCAUUCUUAGGUAGUAUAUUAUUACUUAAAAACCUAUGUAUUUUGGCGGCAUUUAUUCAUCUUAGAGGAACCUGUAUAUUAAUCGAUUCUCCACGAUAUUUUUCACUUUUGUUUAAAUUUUAUAUACCUCCAUCAAAAGGAUUAAUAUUGACAUUAUCCCCUAAUAGAUACUCUAUAAUGUUAGGUAAAGGUGUAGAAUAUAUAAAAGAUUAUAUGGGUUACAAUAAAUUUUAUCUAAGGAUAAAUAAAAAAAUUUAUUAUAGAAAGAGGAUUUAUUAGUAUUGAUUUAAAUAAUAUUUAUAAACGAAUAAGAUAAAAAAUGUGCACAUAUCGCCCGUCACCCUUAUCAAAAGGUAAGGCAAGUCGUAACACAGUUGAUGUUUUGGAAAAAGCAUCAAG
rnacentral:ncRNA from 1 species